CAAUCCACGAACUGCGAAUUUUCAAAUUUUCAAUCCAAUCCAAUCCACUAAUCCACGGAUCGAAUUUUUAUGGAUUGUAUUUCUACGGAUCAGACGGAUUGAGCGGAUCGGAUUGGAUUCUGAACAACCCUAGUCAACACUUCAGAAGGAUUUCCACCCCCAAAUGUUACUUUUUAAAACACCAUAGCAACAUUGAUCAUAUAAUUUAUUCUUUUUCAACCAACUAUUGUAGCAAACUAUAAGCCUAAUUCAAAUAUGACAAAAUAUUUAAAGAUUUAGAUCGGCUCUAUUUUUACAUAUUCUUUUUUCUUUUAAAAAUUCGAACAUUUGAACUCGAUCGGUGAUAAUAUAGUAGACAACAGAUAAGUUAUCAUUUUUUUCAUAUGGUGAAAGUAUUUAUUAUAGCCAAUUCAAGCAUGAUUAAUAUAUCAUCAAAUGAGAAAAGAUCGAGGAAAGAUUUAUCACUAAAUUUACCCUGAAGAGCUAAUGGUGAGCUACGAUGGGGAGUUAAAGUUGUGGAAUGAUUUGAGAGAGGAGAGAUGAGGAUAUGCUAUAGUGAUAACUGCUAAUGUCGAGCUGAAGUUGUAGGCUGAUUUCAUAGAGGAGAAAUGAUGCUAUCGUGGUGACUUCUGAGGCUGUUGGCCGUUGGUGGCUUUAUUGUGGUUGCAUGUACUAUUAUGUCGAGGUAGAGCAGCAUGGUGAUAGCCGGCGGCUUUAGUUUUGGGAGAGGAGGAACCGAGCACAGAUGAGUUACUAAGUUAGGCUAUGGCUAUUACGUGUUUUUUUUUUCUUUUUUGGCUUUAGGAAAUUGGAAAUUUGGGGAUCGAGUUUGGGUGUUUGGUUUUGACUGUUUGUGCCGUUUUUUCCUUUACUUCGAAUGUAAGCGUUUAAUCCAAUUGAUUUUGAAAGUUUAAUUCGUUCGAAUUUUAGGAUUAACCUCAACCGAACCGAAAACUGAAUAAAAAUUUAGGUUUGGUUCAUCCAAACCGAACACCCACCCCUAUUCAAGGAACUAACUUUGGUGACAGUAGGUAUUGUCCUCUAACUGAUUGAUUUUGAAUGAGCCAAUUGAGCUUUUGAGCAAUUGGCAUCUCUUUUGGCUGCCUUUUUUUUUUUUGUUCUAGUGUGUGACCGUUUCCGAGGGAUUUUGGAGGGAUUUGGACGCAUCUCUGUGGAGUUUGUCCCACGUUUAUCUGUAUUAAUUUUGAUGGAGGCCCUUUCAUUGUUGCUAUGGUCCCCAAAUAAUAUGUGAUGACACUUGGGCACCAAAUAACAGACUUCUUCUAACUUUUUCAAAUAUUAAAGUGGCUUACAACGGCCUUCUCAUUUUAUUUUUCCCAUAACAUCUCCAGCCUUUAACUCACUUUGUAGACUUAUUAGGGACUUUUUAGCUAAAAUACUCUUUUAUAUACAUUUCAUUCAAAUUUUGACACCAACACCUUGAAUUACUUCGAUUACUUUUGUUAUUUUAUUUUAUGAAAUAAUAUUAAAUUAAUUAUCACUUAGCAUAGAAAUAUGUAUAAUGUAAAUGAAUGGGCACCUUUCUUUUACUAUACGAUUUUCUUUUUUUUUAAUCAUAAUACUUAUCUAUUUCUUAUAUUCACUUGGUCUAAGAUGACUAAAAGUCUUAGCAAUAUAGUAGAACAUCAUUAAAUUAAUACUUGAUAAUAAUCUCAAUUAAAUAAUAGUAUUUGUGAGUCCCAACUUAGGGUCAACGUGAUAAAUUAAUGAUUCGAUAAAUUUAUUAGACAAUAAAUUUUCAAAAAGAAAUCUUAUUUUUCUAUAGGACCUAAUUAAUACAUAAAUUAAUAAUUGAAUAAUUUAAAACUAAAUACACAUAAUACGCCUAUGAUUUUUUAAAUUGUACUAGCAUAAUUUUUUGUACGUUUCAUCAGUCAUUGUUGUUUUCUUUACAUCUUUUAUAUGAAAAGUCAUUGUUGUACUUUAUUUAUUAUGUUAAAAGAAAUAAGAAAGAAAUUAUAUUGUCCUUAAAAAAUUUUCUUUCAUGAGUUACCAUAUAAUCGUAAUCCAGUUAAAGAAUUAUCAAAUAACUGAUUCACUCAAUCAAAAUUAAAUCAUAAUCUUUUAUUAUACAACUUCACAAAAUCAUAACAUUAUCUAAUUAUUAUAUAUCUAUACUAUAUAAAUUUUUUUUAUCAUGAAUGUGAUAUUAUUUUAUAAAUUAAUAAUUAUUAAUUUAUCGAUAUAUUAAUAUUAAAUAAAUUAAUAGAUUUUUUGUGGUCCUAAAAUUAUUAAUGUUUUGAAAUUUUACUCAUUGUAACUUUCAUAUAGUUUAGGGUGCUUUCGAGAAAGUUAAAGUUGCUAGAUAGUUUCAAGAAGUUUGACGAAGGACCAGCUCAUGUCUUAAGCAACACAUGGCUAACACAGAGAAUCGCAUGCCCAAAUAUCUCAGAGGGGGCAGUUGAUAUUUCAGCAUCAAGGAUCAUCAACACAAGCAAAGGACAGAAGAGAUCAGGGAAAGUCAUCAAAGGAGACAAAUAGUACACACUGCCUUGGCAAGGACAUGAAGAUCCAUGUACUAAAGAUGUUAGAUGAACUCAUAGCUACUAAAGUAAGUGUAUGUAGCAAUACAAUUUCUGUACAUCCUUUAUAUCUUUAUGUAUGUAAUUAAUAUAAUUAAUUACUUUGCGUUUACAUUACAUGUUACAUACAUUAAAGAAAUUGAUAAGUUAACCAUCAAUUUAUCAUCAUAUUUUAUAACUUCUCUUUUACUGUUCAUUACAUUUCUAGUCAUUGGAUUAAAUCCAACAAUCCUCCUUCCACUAACAUUUAUUACAACAAGUAAUUUAACUGUAGCUAUUAAUUAAUACUUGCACCCACAUGCAAUCUUACCACACAAUUUUGUGGUAAUAGAGUUGAAAUUAUAUACAAAAAAAUUGAUAAAUUGAUGUGAUCAUAUCAAUAGAAGACCUUUUCUAAGUUGUAUUUAGUGUCACUUAUAACUAGUUUUUUUAGUAUAAAAUAAGUAAUAAAAUAGUAGAN
rnacentral:lncRNA from 1 species